AGUGAACGCUGGCGGUAGGCCUAACACAUGCAAGUCGAACGGCAGCACAGGAGAGCUUGCUCUCUGGGUGGCGAGUGGCGGACGGGUGAGGAAUACAUCGGAAUCUGCCCAGUCGUGGGGGAUAACGUAGGGAAACUUACGCUAAUACCGCAUACGACCUUCGGGUGAAAGAGGGGGAUCGCAAGACCUCUCGCGAUUGGAUGAGCCGAUGUCGGAUUAGCUAGUUGGCGGGGUAAUGGCCCACCAAGGCGACGAUCCGUAGCUGGUCUGAGAGGAUGAUGAGCCACACUGGAACUGAGACACGGUCCAGACUCCUACGGGAGGCAGCAGUGGGGAAUAUUGGACAAUGGGCGCAAGCCUGAUCCAGCCAUACCGCGUGGGUGAAGAAGGCCUUCGGGUUGUAAAGCCCUUUUGUUGGGAAAGAAAUCUUUCAGGCUAAUACCCUGGGAGGAUGACGGUACCCAAAGAAUAAGCACCGGCUAACUUCGUG
rnacentral:rRNA from 1 species